GUACAAACUCAGUGAAUGACAGUGCAGCUAUUUCAGAGCUUAAAAUUUUUUUUUGGUAAACUUUGGCUAAAUUUGGAAAGCAUAUUGAGUUUGAAUGUAAGAAAAAAAAAUGAUAUGAAGAACUACCAAGGAAGAUAUUCCAGUAAUAUAUGCCUGAGACUUGUGGAAACAUUAAGUAGUGAAAAAAAAGACUGUAAGGCUUCUCUUUUGCCUCAUGUUUAGAAAUGCAAUAUCCUAGUAAUUGAAGGUUGUGAUUAACUGAACAUUUGGUGUGUACAGGGAAACUUGAAUUCUAAGUAAUCUAGUUUUUCUACAUUCCACUUUGACUUAGGAAACAAGCCUUAAAAAUGGUCCUCCAGGAGAUUUUACAGCUGUCAGGAUAUUCAGCUUUUCUAUUCAUAUGCUCUCUUGCUUCUCAUACAUCUAAAGCAUACAUCCAGAGUGUACAAAGUAUGAGACCAUAUUAAUUGAACAGACAAUUUAGCACAGUCAUUAAGACAAUGAGCUCUGGCACCAAAAUGCUUAGAUUUUUACUCCUACCUGGCUUUACCUCUUAAUAGCUGUAUGACCUUGAGCAGGUACUUAACCUCUCUUCUAUAAAAAUGGUGAAAAUAAUACUUAAUGGGGUGUUAUGAGAAUGUAGUGAGUUAGUACAUGAGAAGUUCCUGGAAGGCAUCUGGCACAUUUAAUGCAUAUAUAUGCACACACACACACAUAUGUUUUAACUGUCAUUGAUUUGGUCAGCAUUGCCCCCUAGCACAGGCCCAUAUUUAAUCACCAAAGCAAGAUUGUUUCUGAUGAGCACACACCAUGUUUUCUCACAGGAAAUAGUUCCACAUGUGGAAGAGUCUAAACAAUGAGAGUUCAACUCUCAGAAAUCUUGGCUAAUCCUUAAUUUACCAGAAUAUUAUUCAUAGAACAGUAUUUCUCAAGAUUAAUCAAUGAGGUAAUUUGACAGUGAUCAGUUUUCAAAGAUUUAAAGUAACUUUACCACUCCCAUACUGUUUAUAAACAUUAUUUUCUCUUUUACUUGGGAAGCAGUUCAGUAUCUUACAAUGUUUUGGCAUCAUAAGUGCAGUUUAGCAUUUUGCAAUGCAAUAAAUAUAUAAAGUUAUACAAAGUUAGACUGCAUGAGUAUUUAUCCUAAGGAGAAGGUAUGAAUUAAAGGCUUCAGUUUUUUGGUGUCUGAGUAGAAUACAGGAAGUCUUAUGUUGUCCCACGUUGUCUCUUAAGGUUGGGAUAGGAAGUGCUCGCUUUCACACCAAGUGACCCUCGGUCUGACUAGCUGGACUACUUGGUUAGGAUCAAAAAAAGUCCACAUUAUUAAGAGAAAUAACACACUCUUGAAAAAGACUGAGGGAAAAACCAUCCUUCCAGUGUAGGCUACUAACCUACGAAAGAAUAGAGCAGCUCCUUACAGCUAGGAAAUGAGAAAGUCAAGAAGGGAGAAAAAAAUUAAGAAAGGCAGAGGUGAUGAGUGGCAGAGAGAAAAUGAAAGCAAAAGACAAAACGAGAAGAGAACUAACAAAAACAUUUGUAUUGCUCUGUCAUGUCUUGCACGUUGUCCUUGUUCAUCUUCAGACCUGUCAGAUUGGCAAUCUGGGUCUUAACAGCCAAGUUACCUAAAGAAAGAAUUGGAUUUUAUUAAUUUGGCAAGUAAUGAACACAAAUAUUCUGUGCCAAGUAUCGGAGAUACAAUUAAACAACUGUCCCUGACCUCAUAGAGUUUCCAUUUUACUUCAAAGAAGUUCAGGGAUUUGUAAAUGACUGGUAAAUAAAAAAACAAGACCUAGACCUUGGUUCUAAACCCCUGUUCUUUUCCCUCUGUGCUAUUCAGACAGGUUGCAGCCAUAUUUCAAAUAGUUCUGCAAGAGAAUUGAAUCCCAAUAAUCUGUGUUUGAGGAUUCAGAAUAAAUUAUUGCUUCCCUUUAAAGUUUUUUUUUUAUCUAAUUAAACACUAUUAAACAUUGUAUUUUCUCAUGUUAGAA